UUCCGGUAUUCGGAUUUCGGCUAAGCGUGGGAGCUGCAUGCCGCAAGAACACGAUUGGCUGAACCAAACGACAAAUUUCCGCAUAAAUAUCGCGACAAAAUCGGAAAGCGACGGAAGAGUUUAACAAACAGCUGUCCGGUGUGUUACUCGCCGUGCGUGACUUACACGUCGAGCUUGUAACACAAUCUGGAGAUAACAACCGACCUAUAUAUACCGGGUCGUCCGGGAAAAGCAAGCGAACGAACGACAUACAUAAUCAUACUACAAGUGUAACGAGGGCAAUACUGAAGGAAAUACAUUAUCUUAACGUUGGAACAAGCAAGUGUUUUAUCUUCGAUCACCGAGCGGCCCUUCCUACGAGCCCUAACUCCUAAGGCGCCGAAAAGAUCCCAAUAUACCUAUCGACGUAACCGGAGCCAUCACCGAGGCACAACAAAUGUGUUGAGGCAUUACAUCAUUAAUAUCCCUUCAUAAGACAUAUAAUAUGUUAUUGUUGGUUCGCAGAACUCUCUGACCGGCAUUAGCAUUUGACGCGUCAAUAAUUUGUUUUGGUAUUAUACUAUUGACUGUAUUACUUAUAUUGUGCUAUGCUAUCAAUAUAACAUAUAAGUGUAUCCUACUACAAUGCUUAUAAAUGCAACAGUACCUAUUAGUUCACAUUUCUAAAAACAACUGCAAAUGUUAUUCAAUUCAUUAACGAGAAAAAAAAUCUAUCAGUUAAGAGAUAAUAUAUUAAAUAAUUAUAUUUCGUGUUUUCGCCUGUUUUUAUUAUGUCUGAUUGUUUCAUACAGUUAUAGAAUUAGCGUCGGAAAAUUUUCAUCAUAAACUGAAGAAAAAAAAAGAGUAAAGUUAUGGAUCGUUGCUUAUUUUGUGCUAUGGUGUCGGCUUUACCAAAAAUUAGAACUUGAAUAGAUAGCUGUUGCGUAAUAUAUGAUUUAGAGAUUUAAGAUAAAUGUAAAUCUAGUCAGAUUUUAUUGCGCAUAUAUAUGUAAAAUAAAUAAACAGUUCUAUUUUUUUAUAGUUUAUUUUUGUUCUUACAAUUUCAAAUAUCACAUGUCUACAAUAUAUCUGCAGAACACCCACCUAGCACCAUUAUAUCCUGAGUUACGCAAUUGUGCUUAAUUAUACUCUUGUAACAUACUUAGAUUAUUUCAACUUGCUUUCAGUAUACAAAAUUAAAUACUUUCCGAAUAUGUAUGAUUGUAUUUAAAGAAAUUUAUUUAACAAAUAAAAACUAAAAGGAUUUUAUAGAA